UGACCCCGAGUUCAAAUCUUUGGGGGAGAGAGAGCCAGGAAAGGAAAUGGCAAUUUCAACUAGGUGCUGCCUCAACGUGUCCCCUCCAACCCCAAAUCUUGGCUCAAACAACUCUUCUCUUAACACCAAGGGACCCCAAGUUGCAUGGCCAAGGGACGAUAAAUGGAGGAAGCAAUGCGCAUUAGGGUUGGCCUUCAUGAUGGUCGGGUUACAAGUAGGCGACAUGAAUACCGACGGCGCCAUUGCUAGAGAAUAUCAUCGGUCGCCGCGGAAUCGAACUCGGGGGUAACAAGGUGGAGUGACAAAAGGAUGUGCCCUCAUGGCAGGCGAAUUCACUAGAGACAAUCGUGCCGGAGAAUCUCCGAGGCCAUCGGUCAUCGGAGAUGGGAGCUAUUGGUUUCUCCCAAAAUGCACCGGCACUAAAGUGGCAGUAGCUAGGAAAACAAUAUCCGCUUCUCUAUGUGAUUCCACAUUGUUGUAUUGAUCACAUCAAAUACAAAUCAAUCAGAGAUGAA